rnacentral:rRNA from 1 species
CCGUUUUGUUUACCUUGCGGAGGGAUCAUUA